GGAGGAGUGGCCGAGUCUGGCUUAAGGCGGCGGUCUUGAAAACCGCUGAGCUCGCAAGGGCUCCGUGGGUUCGAAUCCUACCUCCUCCG
rnacentral:tRNA from 1 species